GGCCCGAUAGCUCAGUUGGUAGAGCAAAGGACUGAAAAUCCUUGUGUCGAGGGUUCGAUUCCCCCUUGGGCCACCA
rnacentral:tRNA from 2 species